GUAUAGUCGUGCGGCAACAUGGCCCGAAUUAUUGUCUUGAUGGUAGCAUUGUGCAUAGCAGCAUCAUCAGCAUUUCCAGGACUUCACAUCCAUACAGGAUACCACCCAGUAGCAGUAGCUCCAGUGGUACAUACUGUGCCAGUAGUCCAUGCAGUGCAUACCCCAGUACACAGUGUAUAUGCAGUGCCUGUGACGCAUGCAGUACAUCCAGUGCCAAUCGUCAAGCACAAAGUUAAAACUUAUCACAUUUUUGGUAAAUAAAAUGGUUUGAAUA